rnacentral:rRNA from 1 species
GACGAACGCUGGCGGCGUGCCUAACACAUGCAAGUCGAACGGUAAGGCCCUUCGGGGUACACGAGUGGCGAACGGGUGAGUAACACGUGGGUGAUCUGCCCUGCACUUCGGGAUAAGCCUGGGAAACUGGGUCUAAUACCGGAUAGGACUCCUGGCUUCAUGGUUGGGGGUGGAAAGCUUUUGCGGUGUGGGAUGGGCCCGCGGCCUAUCAGCUUGUUGGUGGGGUAAUGUCCUACCAAGGCGACGACGGGUAGCCGGCCUGCGAGGGUGGCCGGUGAAACUGGGAGUGGGCUACGGCCCAGACUCCUACGGGAGGCAGCGGGGGGGAAGAUUGCACAAUGGGCGCAAGCCUGAUGCAGCGACGCCGCGUGAGGGAUGACGGCCUUCGGGUUGUAAACCUCUUUCAGCUAUGACGAAGCGCAAGUGACGGUAGUAGCAGAAGAAGGACCGGCCAACUACGUGCCAGCCGCCGCCGUAA